rnacentral:lncRNA from 1 species
GAUAUGAGAAUAGAUACUCUUGCUUGUUUUCUUGAACCAUAUGCCCAGAAUAUUUUUUGCCAUCCUUUUUACUUGAGCCUGUGGGUGUCUUUGCCUGUGGGUCUCUUGUAAAUCGUAAUAGUUGGACUUUGUUCUUUGAUCCAGUCUGCUGAUCUGUGUAUUUGAUUCAGCAUUAUUAGUAUGGACAUGUGUUUGUGGUUUCCUGCCAUUUUGGUUUUUUGCUGUAUUUUAUCCUGUCUUGAUUCUCACUUAGUGGAUUACUCUUCUGUUGAACUUCCUGUGUGGGCUUUGAGAAUUGUUUUUUCAUUCCUCUGUGUGAAGUUUAUCUUUGUAGUGCUGGUUUGCUACUUCUGAGUUUUUUUUAGUUUAUCUUGCCAUGGAAUGUCUUUCCCCCUUAACUUUUGCUAGGUAUAGUAACCUUGGCUGACAGUUGUUUUCUUUUGGGGCUUAGAAUAUCUCAUUCCAGGCCCUCCUUGAUUUUAGGGUUUGAGCAGAGAAAUCAGAAGAGAGCCUUGUUUGUCUCAACAUGUGAGCUGUUGUUUCUCUCUUGCAGGUUUUACUAUUCUUCCCUUGUUAGGCAUUUUGAUCAUGCUGGUGUCAGUGAACUUCUCAUUCGGCCUACGAGCUUCCUGUAUGUUGAUGUCUACCUUGUGUCUGAUAUGGGAGAAGUUUUCUGUAACCAUCUCAUUGAGAAUGUUCUUUACGCCUUUAGUUUGUAUCUCCAUGUUCUCUUCUAUCCUAAUGAUUCUCAGGUCAUAUAAAGUUGCCCCAGAGUUCUGAUUUCUGGUCAAGUUCCAUAAUUUUUUCCCCUUUACAGCCUGUCUUCAAUGCCUGAAGUUCUGUCUUCAAUGCCUGAGGUUCUGUUUUCUACAUCAUCU